UCUCACUUUUUAGGGCGNCUGCCGUUGACAAAACGGAGGAAGGCGGGGACGACGUCAAAUCAUCAUGCCCCUUAUGUCCCGGGCUACACACGUAAUACAAUGGCGGUCAACAGAGGGAAGCAAAACCGCGAGGCAGAGCAAACCCCUAAAAGCCGUCUCAGUUCGGAUUGCAGGCUGCAACUCGCCUGCAUGAAGUUGGAAUUGCUAGUAAUCGUGGAUCAGCAUGCCACGGUGAAUACGUUCCCGGGCCUUGUACACACCGCCCGUCACACCAUGAGAGUUGGGAACACCCGAAGUCCGUAGUCUAACCGCAAGGAGGGCGCGGCCGAAGGUGGGCCUGAUAAUUGGGGUGAAGUCGUAAAGGGUUAAACCGUAAAA
rnacentral:rRNA from 1 species